CCUACGGGGAGCAGCAGUGGGGAAUAUUGGACAAUGGGCGAAAGCCUGAUCCAGCCAUGCCGCGUGUGUGAAGAAGGCCUUCGGGUUGUAAAGCACUUUCAGUGGGGAAGAAAGCCUUGGGGCUAAUACCCUCGAGGAAGGACAUCACCCACAGAAGAAGCACCGGCUAACUCCGUGCCAGCAGCCGCGGUAAUACGGAGGGUGCGAGCGUUAAUCGGAAUUACUGGGCGUAAAGCGCGCGUAGGCGGUCUGAUAAGCCGGUUGUGAAAGCCCCGGGCUCAACCUGGGAACGGCAUCCGGAACUGUCAGGCUAGAGUGCAGGAGAGGAAGGUAGAAUUCCCGGUGUAGCGGUGAAAUGCGUAGAGAUCGGGAGGAAUACCAGUGGCGAAGGCGGCCUUCUGGACUGACACUGACGCUGAGGUGCGAAAGCGUGGGUAGCAAACAGGAUUAGAUCCCCUGUAGUC
rnacentral:rRNA from 1 species